rnacentral:rRNA from 1 species
UACAGAGGUCCCAAGCGUUGUUCGGAUUCACUGGGCGUAAAGGGUGCGUAGGCGGUCGGGUAAGUCUGAUGUGAAAUCUCACAGCUUAACUGUGAAACUGCAUUGGAUACUAUCCGGCUCGAGGAAUGGAGGGGAGACUGGAACACUUGGUGUAGCAGUGAAAUGCGUAGAUAUCAAGUGGAACACCAGUGGCGAAGGCGAGUCUCUGGACAUUUCCUGACGCUGAGGCACGAAAGCCAGGGGAGCAAACGGG